AGAGUUUGAUCCUGGCUCAGGAUGAACGCUAGCUACAGGCUUAACACAUGCAAGUCGAGGGGAAACGAUAUUGGAAGCUUGCUUCCGAUAGGCGUCGACCGGCGCACGGGUGAGUAACGCGUAUCCAACCUGCCCACCACUUGGGGAUAACCUUGCGAAAGUAAGACUAAUACCCAAUGAUAUCUCUAGAAGACAUCUGAAAGAGAUUAAAGAUUUAUCGGUGAUGGAUGGGGAUGCGUCUGAUUAGCUUGUUGGCGGGGUAACGGCCCACCAAGGCAACGAUCAGUAGGGGUUCUGAGAGGAAGGUCCCCCACAUUGGAACUGAGACACGGUCCAAACUCCUACGGGAGGCAGCAGUGAGGAAUAUUGGUCAAUGGACGAGAGUCUGAACCAGCCAAGUAGCGUGCAGGAAGACGGCCCUAUGGGUUGUAAACUGCUUUUAUAAGGGAACAAAGUGAGAGUCGUGACUCUUUUUGCAUGUACCUUAUGAAUAAGGACCGGCUAAUUCCGUGCCAGCAGCCGCGGUAAUACGGAAGGUCCGGGCGUUAUCCGGAUUUAUUGGGUUUAAAGGGAGCGUAGGCCGGAGAUUAAGCGUGUUGUGAAAUGUAGACGCUCAACGUCUGCACUGCAGCGCGAACUGGUUUCCUUGAGUACGCACAAAGUGGGCGGAAUUCGUGGUGUAGCGGUGAAAUGCUUAGAUAUCACGAAGAACUCCGAUUGCGAAGGCAGCUCACUGGAGCGCAACUGACGCUGAAGCUCGAAAGUGCGGGUAUCGAACAGGAUUAGAUACCCUGGUAGUCCGCACGGUAAACGAUGGAUGCCCGCUGUUGGUCUGAAUAGGUCAGCGGCCAAGCGAAAGCAUCAAGCAUCCCACCUGGGGAGUACGCCGGCAACGGUGAAACUCAAAGGAAUUGACGGGGACCCGCACAAGCGGUGGAGCAUGUGGUUUAAUUCGAAGCAACGCGAAGAACCUUACCAAAUCUUGACAUCGAUCUGACCGGACUGUAAUGAGUCCUUUCCCUUCGGGGACAGAGAAGACAGGUGGUGCAUGGUUGUCGUCAGCUCGUGUCGUGAGAUGUUGGGUUAAGUCCCGCAACGAGCGCAACCCUUAUCCUCAGUAGCCAGCAAGUGAAGUUGGGCACUCUGUGGAGACUGCCAGGGAUAACCUGGAGGAAGGUGGGGAUGACGUCAAAUCAUCAUGCCCCUUAUGAUUUGGGCUACACACGUGCUACAAUGGCGUAAACAAAGGGAAGCGAUCACGCGAGUGUGAGCAAAUCUCAAAAAUAACGUCUCAGUUCGGAUUGUAGUCUGCAACUCGACUACAUGAAGCUGGAAUCGCUAGUAAUCGCAGGUCAGCAUACUGCGGUGAAUACGUUCCCGGGUCUUGUACACACCGCCCGUCACACCAUGGGAGUCAGUAACACCCGAAGCCGGUGACCUAACCGAAAGGGAGGAGCCGUCGAAGGUGGGACCGAUAACUGGGGUGAAGUCGUAACAAGGUA
rnacentral:rRNA from 1 species